UGCGUAGGCUGAAUAGUCAGUCAGUGGUGAAAUCCUACAGCUUAACUGUAGAACUGCCAUUGAUACUGCUAUUCUUGAGUUCAGUUGAGGUAGGCGGAAUGUGUAGUGUGGCGGUGAAAUGCUUAGAUAUUACACAGAACACCGAUUGCGAAGGCAGCUUACUAAACUGACACUGACGCUGAGGCACGAAAGCGUGGGGAGCGAACAGGAUUAGAUACCCUGGUAGUCC
rnacentral:rRNA from 1 species